UCAGCCUUCAGUGCCAGUGACACCCCCUCAUCUUAAACAGUCAACCCUCACCCUUGGCUUCCAUGGUGUGGCACUGCCUUAAGUAGUUGCCCUAAUCCUAAUCCUCUGGCUGGGCCUUUCCUACCGCAUUGCAGGCUCCCAUUCCUCUACAUACCCAUUUUAUUUUCCCUCAAGGACUCAGUAAGCAGUGGAUUCACAGUCUGCAUAGUUGUUGAUAUGGUUUGGCUGUGUCCCCAUCCAAAUCUCAUCUUGAACUGUAGCUCCCAUAAUUCCUAUGUGUUGUGGGAGGGAUCCAGUUGGAGGUAA
rnacentral:lncRNA from 1 species